rnacentral:ncRNA from 1 species
AUCGUGAGGUUCAGGAGAGAGGAAGGGAUAGCGAAAUCGUAGCCUGACGACCAGAAACCUGAUACAAAGCCGCAUUAUGCGGGUAAGAUGACUUAUGACAUCGAAGCCCAAAAGGUAACCGUAACCUUAAUGUGUAAAUCAGGCAGGUAGACGAGGAAAGAGU